AACAACAAGCUGAUCUGCUUGUCCAUUUGGAUAUAAUGAAUUCAGGAUAUUGCAUUGCUCCAAAACACCGUUGACUUGCACCUCAUAAUGAUGUCUAAAUGGGAAGAUCAGAUAGAAGUUUGUCUCAUUUUCAUUCAUUCUUGUUGAUGUUUAGAUGCCGUGUUUGUGGCGGCGUUGGAAGUCCAUGAGCUACUAGGCCUUGGCCUGUUGUUCCUGUCGGCAUUGGAGUACAGCUUCCAAUGUAAAUAUAUCGACAUUGAAGGUGUUUGAUUCAUUGCCAGAAUCAAAUCAAGAUUGACAUGCUAUCUUCAACAUCCUUGGCGAAGAUGCAGUGAACCACACAAAAAGGUUGAAUUCUAGAUUUGGUGGAGAUAUGUUCAUGAUUUGACGAUCUCAGAAGUCAAACAACAGUUGAAGACUUGUCCCCAGUGGCUUGAGAUCAGCAGAAUCUAUGCUACCGGAUGAAGCAUCCGCAUCCAUUCCAUAAAGCUUUAUAAGCUUAGCCAGUGGCAGUCUAUUUCGACUGCAAGUUGCAUUUCGACUGUACCGCAGUGUCUCAUUCACAAGCCAACGCCCCCAUCCAGAGACCUCGAGAAGUACCAGUUGAGUUGAUCCAAACGUCACGCAAUCUUCCCCACCAGAUAUUUGAUGAAAUGAUGGCCGGAUGGAUUCCACAGGACAAAUGGCUGAGCAGAUGCUACAAGUCACUCGUUGCGAGGAAGCCAUGGAUCAUCACCCAAACAGGUCUUCGGAUAAAAGCUAAAGCAGCAAAGGCUUCUUUUUUCGCAGGCAUCGAGCGGGGCGUCACGUGAAGCUGGAAGCAAAGGGGCAGCAGUAGCAGAAGCUGCUGCCUUUGUCGGCUGAGAGUGAGAGCUGCGGUUUCUUCAAAAUGUCUCCAAGAAUAUUUGACAUGGUUUUGCUUUAUUCUUUGGGCGGCAGACCCACCAUUUUCGGAGCUUUAUUGACCCAACUCCUGCGGUCCGAGAAGAAAGAGGAGGGCAAAUGGGCGGACGCCAUGUUGGAGCCAUUCAACCUCAUCCAGAUUCCUGUAUUCCUCUUUUUGGAUGUUUCAAUCUUCAACCCACCAGAUUCCAUUUACUCGACGACUUGGAAUUUGGGUUAUUCUUUUCUUUUACUUUACCUUUAUUUAUAUAUAGAAUGUGUGUAAUAAUAGCAUGAGUAUUUCAUAAAUAUGAUCUAUAUCAGAAAACAUACUCUUUCAACGUGUUGUGCUGAAGUUAUAAUAUAAAAGAGAUCUCAUAUUUAUUGAUAUAA